rnacentral:rRNA from 1 species
UACGUAGGGUGCAAGCGUUGUCCGGAUUUAUUGGGUUUAAAGGGUGCGUAGGCGGCCUGUUAAGUCAGUGGUGAAAUCCAACAGCUCAACUGUUGAUGUGCCAAUGAUACUGACAGGCUUGAGUACAGACGAGGUAGGCGGAAUUGACAGUGUAGCGGUGAAAUGCGUAGAUAUUGGGAAGAACACCGAUAGCGAAGGCGGCUUGCUGGACUGUAACUGACGCUGAGGCGCGAAAGUGUGGGGAUCAAACAGG